GGGUUGUGAGGUUAAGCGACUAAGCGUACACGGUGGAUGCCCUGGCAGUCAGAGGCGAUGAAGGACGUGCUAAUCUGCGAAAAGCGUCGGUAAGGUGAUAUGAACCGUUAUAACCGGCGAUGUCCGAAUGGGGAAACCCAGUGUGAUUCGUCACACUAUCGUUAACUGAAUACAUAGGUUAACGAGGCGAACCGGGGGAACUGAAACAUCUAAGUACCCCGAGGAAAAGAAAUCAACCGAGAUUCCCCCAGUAGCGGCGAGCGAACGGGGAGCAGCCCAGAGUCUGAAUCAGCUUGUGUGUUAGUGGAACGGUCUGGAAAGUCCGACGGUNACAGGGUGAUAGUCCCGUACACCAAAAUGCACAGGCUGUGAACUCGAAGAGUAGGGCGGGACACGUGGUAUCCUGUCUGAAUAUGGGGGGACCAUCCUCCAAGGCUAAAUACUCCUGACUGACCGAUAGUGAACCAGUACCGUGAGGGAAAGGCGAAAAGAACCCCGGCGAGGGGAGUGAAAAAGAACCUGAAACCGUGUACGUACAAGCAGUGGGAGCACCUUCGGGUGUGACUGCGUACCUUUUGUAUAAUGGGUCAGCGACUUAUAUUCUGUAGCAAG
rnacentral:rRNA from 1 species